CAGGAAAGCAAGAGUUCUAUCUAAUCGAUGAAUCAGAACUGUCAGGGUAGGGUGCUGAAAGUGUUGUCAGCUUGGCUCACCAUUAUUUCCAACACUUUGGUGUUGGAGAAAAGCAUGCAGAGAUCCACUUUGAUAAUUCAGUUGGGCAAAACAAGAACCACACAGUCGUUUGGUAUGCCAUGUGGCGGACUCUGACAGGACUCCACGAAACCAUAUGCCUGAGCUCUAUGAUUACUGGGGACACCAAGUUUGUCCCUGACUACCACUUUGGCAUCUGGAAACUGAAAUGGAGGACAUCCAAUGCAGAGACCAUGGAGGACAUUGCUGCAAGUGUGACCGCUUCAUCAAGGUCAGGCCACAAUUUUCCUUAGCUGGUUCAAGAUAGCAACAAACCCGUUGUCUUCCACUGUUGGAAGAACUACCUGGAACAGUUUUUCAAACCAUUGAGAAACAUUACCAAAUACCACCAUUUUAUUAUAGAUCGGUAAAAACCAGGUAUUGUGACCUGUAAGGAGCACGUAGUUUCUGAAUGGAUGUGCUUCAAUAUAUUGAAGUCUGUCAGUCCAGCGGCUGUUGAACUCCCGUCCACCAAACCGGCCCCAGGUUUUGACCUAAACAGACAGUGGCAUCUGUAUAACACCAACAGCCCCUUCUUCAGAUCGGUCAAUGUCAGGGAUUCUGUGUGUCCAAAACCAACAAUAACAAAGAACCAAGAAAUAGACAGUGACAAACCUAGAAAAAGAAAGCAUAGUCUGUUAUUUUAAAGUAACAUAAAUACUCAAAAUCAACAAUAUUUGGUAUCUUGUUAAAUCUAUGUUACCAGACCGUAUCUAGUGUCUAAUUCCGAUUUUUGUCUAUUGCUAUAAGGAACAAUCCUGGAACAUUGAUUGUAUAUUUGUUAGCUUUAUUGUUAAAUUUAUUUUUCCAAACAUUUUACGAAAUAUUCGUUUUGAGUGUUUAUGGGCUUUUAAGAUGUCAGUUAUUGUAACAAAAGUAGAGCUCUGUUGAAAAUGUUAGAAAAGUUUUCAUUUGUGUUUAGCUACUUAAAACCAUGGCAACUUAAUUGUUCCUUUUAUGGUAUAGUAACAAUGAUUUAUCCAUGUAUUUCAUCAAUUUAAUAUAAAGUUUUAUACAUGACAGAGGUAAUAUUAAUUUAAAUAACAAUAGUGAAACAGAUGAAACACAAACAUUGCUGUUAUGUUCAAUAUAAAACUUGCUAUGACUUUAUUAGAUCAAAUAAGGUGGAAAGAAUAAAAGGUUGUGUUUCCAUGGCAACAUAAGAAUUAUCAAAUGUUAGUUAUUUAAAGAUCCAGUUUAUAACAACAUCUUAAAAGCAUAUUCAUAAAUAGUAUACAGCUAUGGGAUAACCCUCCAUGGAAUCUCUAAAAAAAGACUAAUCAGUUUAUGUUAUGGUGAAAAAAGGCUAGCUGAAUAUUUUACACAUUAGAACAUAGUUUACAAUUUUCAAACAAUAUAAUCCUCUUCAGUAUUUUUAGUCUCUGUAUCAAAAUUAUGCCUAUUUAAACAGAAUCAAUGUAUUUCAUCACUUUUAAUAUCUUCUAUUGAAUACAACAAAUGGUUAGUUUGAUCAAAUUAAAUGAAUAUUUUUACUAUGGUUGCCAUGGCAACCAUUUUUAACUGUACAAUUGAGAUUUGUAUGGAAUCAUCUUAAAGGAAUCAUAUGUUCAGGGUUGCAGUAGAUGUAUUCCAUGACUUUUAUGUUAGUUUGAAGCUGUGAACAUUGAAAAUUUACAUUAACUUGUUGACUCAUUAUUUUAAAGAAUAAACUUGAUGUUUCUCAUGUUUUCAAUUUGUUCAGUUGCACCUCAUGUAUGAAAAUCGUCAUAAUUUUUUUAUUAUU